rnacentral:tRNA from 1 species
AUCCUUCUAGUACAAGUAGUACAUGUGACUUCCAAUCACUCGAUCUUGGUUAAAAUCCAAGGAAGAAUA